rnacentral:rRNA from 1 species
UACGAGGGGGGCAAGUGUUGUUCGGAAUUACUGGGCGUAAAGGGUGCGCAGGCGGUUAUAUAAGACAGAUGUGAAAUCCCCGGGCUCAACCUGGGAACUGCGUUUGUGACUGUAUGACUAGAGUACGGUAGAGAGGGGUGGAAUUCCUGGUGUAGCAGUGAAAUGCGUAGAUAUCAGGAGGAACAUCGAUGGCGAAGGCAGCCCCUUGGACCUGUACUGACGCUCAUGCACGAAAGCGUGGGGAGCAAACAGG